GAAUUUACCUUGCAGGGGAGACACCAUGCUCACAAAGGUGGUUUUCCGAAGGCAAGGCUCAUCACACUCUGGAUGUGCUGACCCCUGUGCUUUCCCCAAAUGUGGAAAAUUGGCUGCAGAAUCUGUGGCAGUGGGGUGGGGUGGGGGUUGUGUUUAAGAUCCUUCCCAU